CUACGGGACGCACCAGUGGGGAAUAUUGGACAAUGGGUGAAACCCUGAUCCAGCAAUGCCGCGUGUGUGAAGAAGGCCUGCGGGUUGUAAAGCACUUUCGGUUGGGAGGACUGCUUCUAGCACUAAUAUUGUUGGAAGUUGACGUUACCUUCAGAAGAAGCACCGGCUAACUCCGUGCCAGCAGCCGCGGUAAUACGGAGGGUGCAAGCGGUAAUCGGAAUUACUGGGCGUAAAGCGCGCGUAGGCGGCUAGAUCAGUCGGGUGUGAAAGCCCCGGGCUUAACCUGGGAACUGCAUCCGAUACUGUCUAGCUCGAGUACAGGAGAGGAGAGUGGAAUUCCACAUGUAGCGGUGAAAUGCGUAGAUAUGUGGAGGAACACCAAUGGCGAAGGCAGCUCUCUGGCCUGAUACUGACGCUGAGGUGCGAAAGCGUGGGGAGCAAACAGGAUUAGAUACCCCAGUAGUC
rnacentral:rRNA from 1 species